UACGUAGGGUGCGAGCGUUAAUCGGAAUUACUGGGCGUAAAGCGUGCGCAGGCGGCGCGUUAAGACAGGUGUGAAAGCUCCGAGCUUAACUUGGGAAUUGCGCUUGUGACUGGCGUGCUGGAGUGUGGCAGAGGGAGGUGGAAUUCCACGUGUAGCAGUGAAAUGCGUAGAGAUGUGGAGGAACACCGAUGGCGAAGGCAGCCUCCUGGGCCAGCACUGACGCUCAUGCACGAAAGCGUGGGGAGCAAACAGG
rnacentral:rRNA from 1 species